GCCCUACGGGGGGCAGCAGUGAGGAAUAUUGGUCAAUGGUCGGGAGACUGAACCAGCCAAGCCGCGUGAGGGAGGAAGGUACAGAGUAUCGUAAACCUCUUUUGUCAGGGAACAAAGGCGGGGACGUGUCCCCGGAUGAGUGUACCUGAAGAAAAAGCAUCGGCUAACUCCGUGCCAGCAGCCGCGGUAAUACGGAGGAUGCGAGCGUUAUCCGGAUUUAUUGGGUUUAAAGGGUGCGCAGGCGGAAUGUCAAGUCAGCGGUAAAAUUUCGGGGCUCAACCCCGUCGUGCCGUUGAAACUUGCGU
rnacentral:rRNA from 1 species